UACGGGGGGGGCAAGCGUUGUUCGGAAUUACUGGGCGUAAAGGGCUCGUAGGCGGCCAACUAAGUCAGACGUGAAAUCCCUCGGCUUAACCGGGGAACUGCGUCUGAUACUGGAUGGCUUGAGUUUGGGAGAGGGAUGCGGAAUUCCAGGUGUAGCGGUGAAAUGCGUAGAUAUCUGGAGGAACACCGGUGGCGAAGGCGGCCCACUGGUCCGGUACUGACGCUGAGGCGCGAAAGCGUGGGGAGCAAACAGG
rnacentral:rRNA from 1 species